AUCCUGGCUUAGGAUGAACGCUAGCUACAGGCUUAACACAUGCAAGUCGAGGGGCAGCGAGAGGAAGCUUGCUUCCUGUCGGCGACCGGCGCACGGGUGAGUAACGCGUAUCCAACCUUCCCCAUAGUAGAGGAUAGCCCGGCGAAAGUCGGAUUAAUACUCUAUGUUGUGUCAUGAGGACAUCUGAAUAACACCAAAGAUUUAUCGCUAUGGGAUGGGGAUGCGUCUGAUUAGGUAGUCGGCGGGGUAACGGCCCACCGAGCCGACGAUCAGUAGGGGUUCUGAGAGGAAGGUCCCCCACAUUGGUACUGAGACACGGACCAAACUCCUACGGGAGGCAGCAGUGAGGAAUAUUGGUCAAUGGGCGCGAGCCUGAACCAGCCAAGUAGCGUGCAGGAAUGACUGCCCUAUGGGUUGUAAACUGCUUUUAUGCGGGAAUAAAGUCAGGUACGUGUACCUGUUUGUAUGUACCGCAUGAAUAAGGACCGGCUAAUUCCGUGCCAGCCGCAGC
rnacentral:rRNA from 1 species